rnacentral:tRNA from 1 species
GGGCCCUUAGCUCAGCUGGGAGAGCGCUACGCUGGCAGCGUAGAGGUCGUCGGUUCGAUCCCGAUAGGGUCCACCA